rnacentral:rRNA from 1 species
AGUUUGAUCCUGGCUCAGAUUGAACGCUGGCGGCAGGCCUAACACAUGCAAGUCGAGCGGCAGCACGGGUACUUGUACCUGGUGGCGAGCGGCGGACGGGUGAGUAAUGCCUAGGAAUCUGCCUGGUAGUGGGGGAUAACGCUCGGAAACGGACGCUAAUACCGCAUACGUCCUACGGGAGAAAGCAGGGGACCUUCGGGCCUUGCGCUAUCAGAUGAGCCUAGGUCGGAUUAGCUAGUUGGUGAGGUAAUGGCUCACCAAGGCGACGAUCCGUAACUGGUCUGAGAGGAUGAUCAGUCACACUGGAACUGAGACACGGUCCAGACUCCUACGGGAGGCAGCAGUGGGGAAUAUUGGACAAUGGGCGAAAGCCUGAUCCAGCCAUGCCGCGUGUGUGAAGAAGGUCUUCGGAUUGUAAAGCACUUUAAGUUGGGAGGAAGGGCAGUUACCUAAUACGUAAUUGUUUUGACGUUACCGACAGAAUAAGCACCGGCUAACUCUGUGCCAGCAGCCGCGGUAAUACAGAGGGUGCAAGCGUUAAUCGGAAUUACUGGGCGUAAAGCGCGCGUAGGUGGUUCGUUAAGUUGGAUGUGAAAUCCCCGGGCUCAACCUGGGAACUGCAUUCAAAACUGUCGAGCUAGAGUAUGUAGAGGGUGGUGGAAUUCCUGUGUAGCGGUGAAAUGCGUAGAUAUAGGAAGGAACACCAGGCGAAGGCGACCACC